UACGUAGGGGGCAAGCGUUGUCCGGAAUCAUUGGGCGUAAAGAGCGCGUAGGCGGCCCUGUAAGUCCGCUGUGAAAGUCAAGGGCUCAACCCUUGGAUGCCGGUGGAUACUGCAGGGCUAGAGUCCGGAAGAGGCGAGUGGAAUUCCUGGUGUAGCGGUGAAAUGCGCAGAUAUCAGGAGGAACACCGAUGGCGAAGGCAGCUCGCUGGGACGUAACUGACGCUGAGACGCGAAAGCGUGGGGAGCAAACAGG
rnacentral:rRNA from 1 species